ACGUGGUGCAUAGGUAAGAAUAUCCGCCUAUGACGCCGAAAGCCUGGGUUCAAAUCCCGGCGU
rnacentral:tRNA from 1 species